GGACUUAGAAGCAGCAGCACAGCCGCCAUUGCUCUCAGCAUGUGGCCGUUCAGUGCUGAAAAAAGGGGGUCUCUCCCAACUUGAGGCAAGAGGAUUUCUUAACUCAGGACAUAAUAGGCUGCUGCAGAGGCAAACCAUGAAGGAGGCAGGAGGGGCACAAAAAGUGAAUGAACCAUUGGAGAUUGUGGGCCGUGGUUUGUGGAACCAGCAGCAGCCCUGUGGUGCAGGGAAACCCAGCAAAAUCCGGAGGUAUGUUGUGACCUUGUGUGGCAGGGGAAGUGUUUCCCAGUGAUCUUGGGGGUGGAGGAGGAAGGCCUGAUUUAGAGAUCCCUAUAGUUUUAUGGAGAGGGUUUCUCUGUCGU